GCCAGCCUUCCUCUGUUGAAGUGUUUGCACUGUGAUGUCGUGGGCCAGGCUUUUUAUUUGAUAAGCUCACGUUAAGAGAAACACGUUUCUGCAAUGAGUCCAGCACUUACAUUAGCGUAACAAUAACUCAGCUGCUGCAGGAAAGGAUAAACUAUAGCAGCAAGAAUAAUGACAAACGGGCACAAUCCAACUGUUGAGAUUAUCACAGAUCAGACCGUGAACACGGUUAACAAUUCACCUCCACUUUGUUUGCUGUACUGUUAUGUAUUCUGGAAACAGGGAGGGGCAGGUGGACUGUCACACGCUGAUUAAUUUACGAGGAGAAUCCGACGUCUGCGACUCACACUACAUGCUGUCGACGAUGAAACCGAGUCCAAAACUACAAACCCUGAUGUGAAGGAAGUGGUGGCCAAUGGAGAGUGGAAGAAGAAGAACGGGCUGGUUCACAGGGAAAGGCCAGUGGGA
ensembl:lncRNA